rnacentral:rRNA from 1 species
GAAGUUAGCAUAUUAAGUACUCCGCCUGGGGAGUAUGCUCGCAAGAGUGAAACUCAAAGGAAUUGAACGGGGGCCCGCACAAGCGGUGGAGCAUGUGGUUUAGUUCGAAGCAACGCGAAGAACCUUACCAGAUCUUGACAUCAAGUGCAAUACUAUGGAGACAUAGUGGAGGUUAUCACGAAGAACAGGUGGUGCAUGGUUGUCGUCAGCUCGUGUCGUGAGAUGUUGGGUUAAGUCCCGCAACGAGCGCAACCCCUAUUGUUAGUUGCCAGCACGUAAUGGUGGGGACUCUAACAAGACCGCUAGCGAUAAGCUAGAGGAAGGUGGGGAUGACGUCAAAUCAUCAUGCCCCUUAUGAUCUGGGCUACACACGUGCUACAAUGGUUGGUACAAAGAGAUGCAAAACGGUGACGUCGAGCAAACCUCAAAAAGCCAAUCUCAGUUCGGAUUGUAGUCUGCAACUCGACUACAUGAAGCUGGAAUCGCUAGUAAUCGCGAAUCAGAAUGUCGCGGUGAAUACGUUCCCGGGCCUUGUACACACCGCCCGUCACACCANCGAGAGUUGAUAACACCCCAAGUCGAUGACCUAACCGACAAGGAAGGAGUCGCCUAAGGUGGG